rnacentral:rRNA from 1 species
GUAACGUUGACGCACUUGGAGAUGAUAAUGAUAGUGAUAUAAAAUUCUAGGUAGAAAAAAGAUUAUGAAAAAUUUCUAUCUAUUAGUCUUGGCCAAAAUACGUGCCAGCCGUCGCGGUAAUACGUAGAAGAAUAGGGGUAUUCCUCUUUAUUAGGGUGAAAGGGGACCUUAACGGAAAAUAAAGCCCCAUUAGGAACUAAUUUUCUACAGUUUUAUGAGAGAAGGGGAGAAUUUCCGGAGCAGAUUAAUACCGUAGAGACUGGUAACGGCCAAUGCAACCUUUUAUGUAAAAACUGACGUAGACGGACGAAGACUUGCGUAACGAGGGGGAUUAAAUACCCUAAUAUUCCUUGGAGACCAUUAUGAAUGUCGUAGGCUACAUAUUUUAAUCUAGAAAUGAGACUGCAAGCGUUCCAGCUCACGAGCCAACCGGCAACGCCCGAGUUGAAAUCAGUACACCGUUUCUGAAACCAGUAGUGAAGCCUGUUAUUUAAUUCGAUGAUCCGCGAAUAACCUUACCACAAUAUGCACCCAAUAUUAUUCAAUUAUUACAAGCGCUGCACGGCUGUCUUCCAUUACUGUCCUGAGAUUAUGUCUUGAGCCAUUAAUUAGCGCAUACCCUUAUCAUAUACGCUUACUAUAAUAGGACCCCGAGAUAUUGGACCCGACAUUAGGUACUAACACAAGUCAUCAUAGCCUUAA